rnacentral:ncRNA from 1 species
CAAAGGCUUGGUCCUGACUUUAUUGUCAGCUCUAGCUAUACUUACACAUGCAAGUCUCCGCACCCCCGUGAGAAUGCCCGCGCUCCCUUAUGAGAACUCGGAGCAGGUAUCAGGCACACCUGAGUAGCCCAUGACACCUUGCUUAGCCACACCCCCAAGGGAUUUCAGCAGUGAUAAAUAUUAAGCCAUAAGUGUAAACUUGACUUAAUUAAGGCCAAGAGAGCCGGUAAAACUCGUGCCAGCCCACCCGCGGUGAGACGAGAGGCUCAAGUUGACAAACACGGCACAAAGCGUGGUUAAGGACCCUUACAGACUAAAGUUAAACGCUUCCCAAAGCUGUUAUACGCAUUCGGAAGUAUGAAAUUCAACAACGAAAGUAGCUUUAACACCCCUGAACCCACGAAAGCUAAGAAACAAACUGGGAUUAGAUACCCCACUAUGCUUAGCCGUAAACAUCGAUCUUCACACAAAAUCCGCCCGGGAACUACGAACACGAGUUUGAAACCCAAAGGACUUGGCGGUGCUUAACAUCCACCUAGAGGAGCCUGUUCUAGAACCGAUAACCCCCGUUAAACCUCACCUCCCCUAGUCUAAAACCGCCUAUAUACCACCGUCGCCAGCUUACCCUGCGAAGGCCCCAAAGUAAGCAAAACUAGCACUGCUCAGAACGUCAGGUCGAGGUGUAGCGCAUGAGGAGGGAAGAAAUGGGCUACAUUCGCUACCCCUUAGCGUAUAACGAAUAUCUGCGUUGAAACACGCGUUUGAAGGAGGAUUUAGAAGUAAGCAAAAAAUAGAGCGUUUUGCUGAAACAUGGCACUAAAGCGCGCACAUACCGCCCGUCACUCUCUCCUGUAUUUACCCCAUCUCGCGUAUAUAACAUCACGUUCAAAUCGAGGAGAGGAAAGUCGUAACAUGGUAAGUGUACUGGAAAGUGCACUUGGAUAAC